GAUGAACGCUGGCGGCGUGCCUAAUACAUGCAAGUCGAGCGAACAGACGAGGAGCUUGCUCCUCUGACGUUAGCGGCGGACGGGUGAGUAACACGUGGAUAACCUACCUAUAAGACUGGGAUAACUUCGGGAAACCGGAGCUAAUACCGGAUAAUAUAUUGAACCGCAUGGUUCAAUAGUGAAAGACGGUUCUGCUGUCACUUAUAGAUGGAUCCGCGCCGCAUUAGCUAGUUGGUAAGGUAACGGCUUACCAUGGCAAUGAUGCGUAGCCGACCUGAGAGGGUGAUCGGCCACACUGGAACUGAGACACGGUCCAGACUCCUACGGGAGGCAGCAGUAGGGAAUCUUGCGCAAUGGGCGAAAGCCUGACGGAGCAACGCCGCGUGAGUGAUGAAGGUCUUCGGAUCGUAAAACUCUGUUAUUAGGGAAGAACAAAUGUGUAAGUAACUAUGCACGUCUUGACGGUACCUAAUCAGAAAGCCACGGCUAACUACGUG
rnacentral:rRNA from 1 species